rnacentral:lncRNA from 2 species
AUGGCAAGGAGGAAAGAUGAUUACGAUGGGUGCAGCAACAAAGAUUGGGGGCAAAGAGGUAGCUUCAGGGAGGAGGAGGAAGGUUUUGGAACAGGCUUUCAGGGAAGUCGCAUGGGGUUUGAUCCGGGCUAUGGUUUUGGGCAGCAGGGUAGCUUCGGUCAGAGGUGGCAGAGGCAUGGUUACCGCCCGAGACGGGCUCGUGGCUUUGGCCCAAGGUGCGGCGGUUUUGCAGGAAGACCAGGGAGAGGGUCAGCAAGAGGAUUCGGGUCACAACGUCCAGCUUUUGAGAGGAAAAUGGAUGAUAUGGGAAGAAAGGGAGAGGAGAAGGGGGGAGCUGCUAGCUCGGAGAGGAAUGGUGGUGCAGGCCGGGUGAAAGUGGGGGAGGUGGAGGUCCUGGUGCUGGCAAGAAAGGAGAAGCAGCCAAUGGUUGAGAAGAAAGAAGAAAAUGGGGACUUUGUGGAGAUGGAGUGUGAUCCAUCUUUGUUUGAGGAUCAGCAACUAGGGGUAGAGAAAGGGAAAGACCAUGUGAACCAUCGCUGCCCUGUUUUGAAGCUUCCUAAGCCAGCGGUUCAAGCGAUAGAGCAAGGUGGGGAUGGUGGGGAUGAUAAGGAGGAUGGGGGUCAAGAGGAGGAUGAAUUAAGGGAAAAGGAGACCAAGAGGGUGAAGAGUGAUGAUAUGGUGUUAGAUGACAAAGAGGAGGGGAAGAUGGAGGGAAAUUUCGGUGGUGACAAUGGGAACCAAGGUAUGGAUGGGGUGCAGGAAAAGUUUUUCGGAGAAAUGGCUUCGAAAAUCAUUGAUGGGGCUGUUGUAAGUCUCUUAGAGGAGGUGUGUGAUAAAGUAAUGCAUGAGGAGGGGCAGCCGGCUGUGCAUGAAGGGGAAAUAGGACAGCGGGAGGUUGAAGGUGGGGAUGAUAUUGAGCAGGGUGAUGGAGAGGAAGAGGUGGGCAAGAUGAUAGAGGAGAAAAUAGUGCGGGCUGCAAUGGUUAAAGAGGUGGCGACUACACCAACUCGGGCUAGUGUAAGGCUAGCCUCAAGUGGAGAAUACUCGGUGGAAAAGGCUACAAAGAGAAAGGCACGAAAGAACCUGGAGCCGCAGUCAGGUUCAAUAGUUAGUUUGAAAAAUGUUGAAGAGACUAGACUUAGAAAUUAUGUUGCACCUAAAGCUGAUUUAGUUGGAAACUUAGAAGGAGAACUUGAGUCAGAGGAGGAUGAGAUG